UGCUGCAAGAAAUCACUGAAAGAGUCUCAGUUGGAAUUUCUGGUUUUCCAGUGGAAAUGGGAAAGCAGCAUAACAGAGGGAAAAAGUCAGUUAAAAGGAAAAGGAACAUUUGAAACUUCUGCAUAAUUAAUCUACAUUGCCAUUAAACUCUUCUACAGAAAACAAACAAAAAAAAAAAAACAAAAAACAAAAAACAACCAUGGGUAGCUUAUGGAAAAGAAGUUCUUCUUCAGAAACUUCUAAUCAUGAGAGAUCAGCUCAGUAGACUGUAAUCCUCGCUGCGAUGCUGUCUGCAUGAUGAAUCCAUAGCAUAGUAUCAAGAUAUCAUUGCCAGUGGCAUGUACCCUACACAAGUAAGUGCUGAAACAGGUGCAUAUGUGAAGGCCAACUUAAAGGAAACUGGAAGAGAAAGAAGAGGGAAGAAGAAAAGUCUUCCAUGAAGAACUUGCUAUCUGAACAGGAAUUACAUUUUUUGUUGGGGAAACUCCUGAUGGUCAUGUCUUCACAGGAAUAUUAUAAAAGGAAAAUUAAAGGUAUAACUGCUAGAAUAAAACUAACUGGAAAUAAAGAUAAGAAAAUGCUAAGUGUUGCAUCUCACGGGGAAUCAAAAGGUGGAUGGCCAAUCAAGCAGAUAUUACUCAACACUUUCUGAGAACUCGCAAAUAAUCAGAAGAAAAUAUAGCUGGAAUUCAAUCUAACAAAGAAUCAACUCAAAUGUUUCAGAUCAGCAGGAUCUGUUUAAUGUGUCAUCUUCAUUCCUCAAGCAUUAACC